rnacentral:rRNA from 1 species
AUACGGAGGGGGUUAGCGUUGUUCGGAAUUACUGGGCGUAAAGCGCACGUAGGCGGACUGGAAAGUUGGGGGUGAAAUCCCGGGGCUCAACCUCGGAACUGCCUCCAAAACUUCCAAUCUAGAGAUCGAGAGAGGUGAGUGGAAUUCCAAGUGUAGAGGUGAAAUUCGUAGAUAUUUGGAGGAACACCAGUGGCGAAGGCGGCUCACUGGCUCGAUACUGACGCUGCGGUGCGAAAGCGUGGGGAGCAAACAGGAUUAGAAACCCUUGUAGUCC